UUGGCUCAGGAACCGACGCUGGCGGCAUGCCUAAUACAUGCAAGUCGAACGAGCUUCCGUUGAAUGACGUGCUUGCACUGAUUUCAACAAUGAAGCGAGUGGCGAACUGGUGAGUAACACGUGGGAAAUCUGCCCAGAAGCAGGGGAUAACACUUGGAAACAGGUGCUAAUACCGUAUAACAACAAAAUCCGCAUGGAUUUUGUUUGAAAGGUGGCUUCGGCUAUCACUUCUGGAUGAUCCCGCGGCGUAUUAGUUAGUUGGUGAGGUAAAGGCCCACCAAGACGAUGAUACGUAGCCGAUCCUGAGAGGGUAAUCGGCCACAUUGGGACUGA
rnacentral:rRNA from 2 species